AGAGUUUGAUCAUGGCUCAGAUUGAACGCUGGCGGCAUGCUUUACACAUGCAAGUCGAACGGCAGCGCGGGGCAACCCUGGCGGCGAGUGGCGAACGGGUGAGUAAUGCAUCGGAACGUAUCCUGUAAUGGGGGAUAACGUAGCGAAAGUUACGCUAAUACCGCAUACGCUCGAGAGAGGAAAGUGGGGGAUCGCAAGACCUCACGUUAUAGGAGCGGCCGAUGUCCGAUUAGCUAGUUGGUGGGGUAAAGGCCUACCAAGGCGACGAUCGGUAGCUGGUCUGAGAGGAUGAUCAGCCACACUGGGACUGAGACACGGCCCAGACUCCUACGGGAGGCAGCAGUGGGGAAUUUUGGACAAUGGGCGAAAGCCUGAUCCAGCCAUGCCGCGUGCGGGAAGAAGGCCUUCGGGUUGUAAACCGCUUUAGUCCGGGAAAAAGGGGUGCGAGGAUAAUACCCUCGUGCUUUGAUGGUACUGGAAGAAUAAGCACCGGCUAACUACGUG
rnacentral:rRNA from 1 species